rnacentral:rRNA from 1 species
AUCUUAUGGAGAGUUUGAUCCUGGCUCAGGACGAACGCUGGCGGCAUGCCUAAUACAUGCAAGUCGAGCGAAUGACGAAGAAGCUUGCUUCUUCUGAUUUAGCGGCGGACGGGUGAGUAACACGUGGGCAACCUGCCCUGUAGAUUGGGAUAACUCCGGGAAACCGGGGCUAAUACCGAAUAAUCCAUUUCCUCACAUGGGGAGAUGUUAAAAGACGGCAUCUCGCUGUCACUACAGGAUGGGCCCGCGGCGCAUUAGCUAGUUGGUGAGGUAACGGCUCACCAAGGCGACG